rnacentral:rRNA from 1 species
GACGUAGGGCGCGAGCGUUGUCCGGAUUUAUUGGGCGUAAAGCGCGCGUAGGCGGACCUGCAAGUCGGGGGUGAAAGCCCGAGGCUCAACCUCGGAACUGCCUUCGAUACUGCGGGUCUCGAGUCCGGGAGAGGUGAGUGGAAUUCCUAGUGUAGAGGUGAAAUUCGUAGAUAUUAGGAAGAACACCAGUGGCGAAGGCGGCUCACUGGCCCGGUACUGACGCUGAGGCGCGAAAGCGUGGGGAGCAAACAGG